UGAGGAAUAUUGGUCAAUGGGCGGAAGCCUGAACCAGCCAAGUCGCGUGAGGGAGGACGGUCCUACGGAUUGUAAACCUCUUUUGCCGGGGAGCAAUGCGCGGUACGUGUACCGCGACGGAGAGUACCCGGAGAAAAAGCAUCGGCUAACUCCGUGCCAGCAGCCGCGGUAAUACGGAGGAUGCGAGCGUUAUCCGGAUUUAUUGGGUUUAAAGGGUGCGUAGGCGGGCUUUUAAGUCAGCGGUAAAAAUGCGGCGCUCAACGCCGUCGAGCCGUUGAAACUGGGAGUCUUGAGUGGGCGAGA
rnacentral:rRNA from 1 species